CCCCAUGUAGCUCAGUGGGUAGAGCACCAACCUGCACGAACUAGGAGGUCAUGGGUUCGAUUCCCAGUCAAGGGCA
rnacentral:tRNA from 1 species